AGUCGUUCGGCCAGCCCCCGCCGGCGAAGACACAGCCGUUCCCGAAGCAGGAACCGCAGUCGUGGCCGUGACUACAGCCGCUCACGGUCUCGUUCCUACUCUAGAUCCUGUUCCAAGUCCCGCACACCCCGCAAGAGCAAGUCCCCAUCCCGAUCAAGGUCCCGCAGCCGCACCCCGGCUUCUAACAGAGGCUCACGGUCGAGGUCCAAGAGCAUGCCCAAAUCCCCCGAUGACAACGGAACCGAGUCUUAGUAACAACAGUUCCAAGCCAGACCCAAUGUCAGACGAUUGAGACUUCUCUGUGGACAUCAACCAGAGCUUAAGUCUGCCAGUGGACACCUCUCUACGCCUAACAAUACUGACCAAAAGGUUGUGACUUGGUCUAAAAUGUUUCAGUUGCCCAUAAAUAGACUACUAUAUAUUUACCAAUGCGUGUAAUGCCGUUGACUAGAGUGAAGGACAUGUUUUGAGGUUAACUGUAUUUUGUCUCAUUGUUAGUGAAGGUUGGUUGCAUAUUAAUUUGAUUUAAACUUUUAUGAAGUAGCCCCCCCUCUUUUUAAAAAAUUAAUUGAAGCCCUUAUUUAGUAGUCUAAUUCUCUACAGAAGGAUUCCCCGUAUUGAGUUACUGCUGUUCUUCUUUUGGAGAGUUGAAUUUAGCAGUUACCCUAAACCAGC
ensembl:lncRNA